GCUCCGGUGGCCUAGUGGUUAGAGUGUCCGCCUCGAAUGCAGAAGGUCGCGGGUUCAAACCCUGACCGAGUCA